rnacentral:tRNA from 1 species
GGCCGAGCGGUUAAGGCGAAAGAUUAGAAAUCUUUUGGGAUUUUCCCGCGCAGGUUCGAGUCCUGC